AGAAGUGUGCACGCAAGUGGAGAUCUGCGCCCCGGCAGAAGCCGGGCUUCUCAGCGAAGGGAAGUGGACAGAAACACACUCGCGCUAGAAACACACACAGCCAGCUGGAGGCCUGGAAUGUUCUCCCCAACAGCUUCCCUCUGCAGAGACUGUCUGCACCACGCCUGUGGCCAGGUAUGGGGACUGCCAGCCCCAGGGCACACGCAGCCUACAUCCAUGCUCCUAGGAGAAGAGAACCAGAAAGUGAAGUCCACCAAGGCCAUGGUGCCCCUUCCAAGAAAUUGGCUGCACAUGCGCAGUGAAGGAGGAGAGCACGAAGCACCUGCAGAUCCACACUCAAUGUCCCUUUUGUUUAGAAGUCCUGCUGGCUUUAUAUC